rnacentral:rRNA from 1 species
GAUGAACGCUGGCGGCGUGCCUAAUACAUGCAAGUCGAGCGAACAGACGAGGAGCUUGCUCCUCUGACGUUAGCGGCGGACGGGUGAGUAACACGUGGAUAACCUACCUAUAAGACUGGGAUAACUUCGGGAAACUGGAGCUACUACCGGAUAAUAUAUUGAACCGCAUGGUUCAAUAGUGAAAGACGGUUUUGCUGUCACUUAUAGAUGGAUCCGCGCCGCAUUAGCUAGUUGGUAAGGUAACGGCUUACCAAGGCGACGAUGCGUAGCCGACCUGAGAGGGUGAUCGGCCACACUGGAACUGAGACACGGUCCAGACUCCUACGGGAGGCAGCAGUAGGGAAUCUUCCGCAAUGGGCGAAAGCCUGACGGAGCAACGCCGCGUGAGUGAUGAAGGUCUUCGGAUCGUAAAACUCUGUUAUUAGGGAAGAACAAAUGUGUAAGUAACUAUGCACGUCUUGACGGUACCUAAUCAGAAAGCCACGGCUAACUACGUG